rnacentral:rRNA from 1 species
CCUACGGGAGGCUGCAGUAGGGAAUCUUUCACAAUGGGCGAAAGCCUGAUGGAGCAACGCCGCGUGCAGGAUGAAGGCCUUCGGGUUGUAAACUGCUUUUAUAAGCGAGAAAUAUGAUGGUAACUUAUGAAUAAGGAUCGGCUAACUACGUGCCAGCAGCCGCGGUCAUACGUAGGAUCCGAGCAUUAUCCGGAGUGACUGGGUGUAAAGAGUUGCGUAGGUGGCAUAAUAAGUAGCUAGUGAAAUCUGGUGGCUCAACCAUUCAGACUAUUAGCUAAACUGUGAAGCUCGAGACCGUUAGGGGUAACUGGAAUUUCUAGUGUAGGAGUGAAAUCCGUAGAUAUUAGAAGGAACAACAAUAGCGUAGGCAGGUUGCUGGGACGGUUCUGACACUAAGGCACGAAAGCGUAGGGAGCAAACGGGAUUAGAUACCCGAGUAGUC